CACGUUCAGAAGGACCUCUUCCCUGACUUGUAUAUAGGGUCCAUGUACUGUACAGUAUAUACUGUUGGACUAUCCACGUUCAGAAGGACCUCUUCCCUGACUUGUAUAUAGGGUCCAUGUACUGUACAGUAUAUACUGUUGGACUAUCCACGUUCAGAAGGACCUCUUCCCUGACUUGUAUAUAGGGUCCAUGUACUGUACAGUAUAUACUGUUGGACUAUCCACGUUCAGAAGGACCUCUUCCCUGACUUGUAUAUAGGGUCCAUGUACUGUACAGUAUAUACUGUUGGACUAUCCACGUUCAGAAGGACCUCUUCCCUGACUUGUAUAUAGGGUCCAUGUACUGUACAGUAUAUACUGUUGGACUAUCCACGUUCAGAAGGACCUCUUCCCUGACUUGUAUAUAGGUCCAUGUACUGUACAGUAUAUACUGUUGGACUAUCCACGUUCAGAAGGACCUCUUCCCUGACUUGUAUAUAGGGUCCAUGUACUGUACAGUAUAUACUGUUGGACUAUCCGCGUUCAGAAGGACCUCUUCCCUGACUUGCAGACUAGAAUCUUCCGGAAGGCUCGUCUGAAGUCCUGGUUGAAGAUGGUGUAGAUGACGGGGUUGAGGGAGCUGUU